CCAAUAGCGUAUAUUAAAGUUGCUGCCGUUAAAAAGCUCGUAGUUGAAUUUCGGGACCAAUAUGUCGGUCGUGCCUCGGUACGUACUGGCAUUAUUGGUUUCUCCCUUCUGAAGAACCUUGAUGUCAUUAAUUUGGUGUCUUGGGGAAUCAGGACUGUUACUUUGAAAAAAUUAGAGUGUUUAAAGCAGGCUCGCGCUUGAAUACAUUAGCAUGGAAUAAUGAAAUAGGACGUUUGAUUCUAUUUUGUUGGUUUCUAGGAUCGACGUAAUGAUUAAUAGGGAUAGUUGGGGGCAUUAGUAUUCAAUUGUCAGAGGUGAAAUUCUUGGAUUUAUUGAAGACUAACUACUGCGAAAGCAUUUGCCAAGGAUGUUUUCAUUAAUCAAGAACGAAAGUUAGGGGAUCGAAGACGAUCAGAUACCGUCGUAGUCUUAACCAUAAACUAUGCCGACUAGGGAUCGGAUGAUGUUAAUUUUUUAAUGACUCAUUCGGCGCCUUACG
rnacentral:rRNA from 1 species